AGCUUUGCGCAGUGGCAGUAUCGUAGCCAAUGAGGUUAAUCCGAGGCGCGAUUAUUGCUAAUUGAAAACUUUUCCCAAUACCCCCCAUGACGACUUGAAAUAUAGUCGGCAUGGCAAUUUUUGACAGUCUCUAACGUGA